AAGGGGAGGCAUGGCGGCCCGCGUGGCUCCUUCGAGGGCUCGGGACUUUCGUAUGUCCGCCCGGCUGAGGCGGUUCCCGCCCCCCGCCCCGCGGCCCCGGAGGCUCCGGCGGAGAUUGUCGCUGCUCAGGAUGGCUGGUUCCAGGAUGUUUGCAGCUUCCCCGCCAGGCCUGGGUAUCAGUAGGGGCCUGCUGUCCCUCUCCGUCUAGGGAGACCGGUGAAGGUUUUUUCUGGACCAGAGUCUGGGACAUCUCAGGUGCUGGGGACCCUCCCGGCCCUCGCCCGAUGCCCAUCGCCGGCUGGCCGCAGAGCCGACCUCUCACCUGUCCCCGCCCGGUGUGACCCCGGCCCUCGCCCAGCCCCGGGGCUGCGGCAGAAACAGUUUCAGCCCCAUGUCCCCGGUCGGUUUGUCGUAUUAAAAAC